rnacentral:lncRNA from 1 species
GAGAGCAAGGUGCUGGAUUUGAAUGCAGAUUCUCCACGUCAGGCCAGAUUUCCCAAUCUGCUACAGCUGAGUUAAUUUCCACCAUGGAUGCCACCAGAAUGUUGGAAUAAGGAGACUUCUAGCACACUCCCCAUCUUGAUAAGGCACCUGAAGUCACAUUGCAGAUGCACACUGCCUGUGCCACCAGGCUCUGCAUCCUCUUCCCCUGCCCUGGCCAUGGCUUCUUGUCAGCCCUGAUGUGCUGUAGGUGACUUUGGACCUCCCUCACCACUCUGGACUUGGGUGAUGCUCGUGGGACUCCUGGCUGAGCCUUGUUUCCAGCACCCAGCCCACUCUGCCCUCCUUGCCUGGGCACCCCAGGGCUGUGCCAGGCUGGGGAGGGCACUGCCCUGCUGCUCAUCUUUGCAGAUCAACCACUGACACCCAGACCAUCUCCUGUGUGGAUGUAAUUAUGCCCACAUAAAGGAGCCAGUGGGUUGGAAAAAGAAUCAUUGAUAUGUGAGACUGAAAUGUGAUUAAAUGAAGCAACAUCUGCCUUGUCAGAGAGAGCAGUGAGAAGAGACUUUAUUGCACUGUGUGGUGAAAGAAGGGAGAAAACCGUGAGCUGCUGACACCUCUGGUCUUGCAAAGAAGAGCAGAGCAGAAGGAAUGGUUGGAAAGUCAGGAACAGACUGGACUCCAUGUCCUUCCCAUCUAUGAUGCAACACAUGUUCUUCAGCCCCCAGAGGCCAGCAGGAAAUACGUGAGUCUAAAAGUGAAGAAAAUUCAUUAUUUACAUGCAGCAUCAAACUUCCUCUUGAUGUUACACAGGCAUCUUCCUGCUGUCUCACUCCUACUAAAAUCUCUCCCUCUGAGCCUCUGGUUCAACCCAGAGACUAACAAGGGGAGCAAGUGGUAAGUGUGAUGUGUAACUCAUAGAAAGACUGCUUAAAAAAAAGGUUUGCAAUAAAAAUGCUCUGGUACUUCA